GAAACUAAAAACACGACAUGAUACGACGAAGACGGAAAACAAAUAAAACGAAUCAUCUCCAUUAAAGACGAACCAUCUCUAUUGAAGACGAAUCAAAGACGACCUGAAGUCAUCUAUGUUGAAGACGAAACAAGGGAACUUAAUGUACGAAAACUCAUAUGUAUAAAAACUGAAUUGUAAGUCAUCUUUGUAGAUCUGUUUUUGUAGAUCUGGAUCCUAAAAAAUGAUUGAGUUUUGUUAAUAGGUUGUUGAUUUUUUAGAUCCGGUGGCGAUAAAUAAGGUUCUUCAAAACAAGAAGAACAAGGUUUUUGUUGCUUUUUUUUUGCUAAUUGAGUUUUUAUAGAUCUGGAUCCCAAAAAGAGAAUUGAUUUUUCAGAUUUUUCAAAUAUGAGUUUUCAGAUAUGGUUAAAUUGGAUGUCAUGAGUGUUUCCAAUUCUAAUGGAUACGGUGGAAUUCUAGUGAGUUAUAGAGUCAGGACAUCCGAGCAAUUGAUUGGGAUUGAGUUUUUAUAUAAUUCAUGAUGUUACGGCUACGUCGACGGUCGGUAUUUCGUAUGUUGUUACUCCGGUUCUAGAAGAAGAUGAGCUUGUUGACGGUGUUUCGUAUGUUGCUACCUAGUGGGAUAAAAGUUGAUUGUUACCUAGUGGAAUAGGAGUUGAUUAUUGUAUUUUGUAGGUGCUUUAAAUAUUUAUGUAUAUCUUGUUAAAUUUUAUGUUUUUGAGUACCCUCAACUGCUAGUUUUGUAGUACGAAUAUAAGUUAAACAUUUUUUCAUGAUAUUGAUAUAGUUGAUUGAUUUGGCCAAAGAUUUAAUCUAAUUAGUGUUUGUGUCAAUAUAUAUUUCUCGAUUUCUUAAUCCUGAUUGUUUAUAUAAACCAUUUCAGGGUGUAUCGAGAAGCAAUUUUAUAUUAUGAGAAAGCCUUUGCAUUAUCAAGAACAAGUAUGAGCACUAAUGUCAGUCUUACGUAUACUUACCAUUUACACGUAUCUAAAAUGAUCUUUCAGUUUGUCAUAUUUUGUAUGUUAUCUUAAAGCAAAAUGUGAAUUUUCUGUAUGAUUGGAAAUGUGGUUUUGUCAUAUUAUUCGGAUAAAUAAAUUGUGUUGACUUUUAUAGAAAAAGUUAUGUGAGCAUGGGAAUGAUGAUGACUCUUG
rnacentral:lncRNA from 1 species